rnacentral:pre_miRNA from 1 species
GCAAACUUGGAAACUACCGUUGGAUCGAAAAAUGGACAUCCGAAAUUCGUCCACGAGUAAAAUUUUAACUCAUAAGUGAAUCUGCGAGUAAAAUUUUUACUCGUGAUGACGUGGACGAAUCUCAGUUGUCUAUUUUUUUUAUCCAAUGAUAGUGUCCAGGUUUCC